rnacentral:rRNA from 1 species
UUCAUAGGAGGAGACCUCAAUGGCCACGUAGGUACAUCUAACACAGGUUUUGAAGGGGCGCAUGGGGGCUUUGGCUAUGGCAUCAGGAAUCAAGAAGGAGAAGAUGUCUUAAGCUUUGCUCUAGCCUACAACAUGAUUGUAGCUAACACCCUCUUUAGAAAGACAGAAUCACAUCUGGUGACUUUUAGUAGUGGCCAACACUCUAGCCAGAUUGAUUUCAUCCUCUCGAGAAGAGAAGAUAGGCGUGCGUGCCUAGACUGUAAGGUGAUACCUGGGGAGAGUGUUGUACCCCAGCAUAAGCUGGUGGUUGCUGACUUCCGCUUUUCGGAUUCGUGUCCAGCGGGAUAA